rnacentral:misc_RNA from 1 species
UCUCCGUUGGUGAACCAGCGGAGGGAUCAUUACCGAGUUUACAACUCCCAAACCCCAUGUGAACCUUACCAAACGUUGCUUCGGCGGGAUGCCCCGGGCGCGGGCCGCAAGGCCUCAGCCCUGGAACCAGGCGCCCGCCGGAGGCCCAAACCAAACUCUUGUUUUUGUAGAAUCUUCUGAGUGGCCUUUUAGGCAAAAAAUGAAUCAAAACUUUCAACAACGGAUCUCUUGGUUCUG